CCUACGGGCCGCACCAGUGGGGAAUAUUGCACAAUGGGCGCAAGCCUGAUGCAGCCAUGCCGCGUGUAUGAAGAAGGCCUUCGGGUUGUAAAGUACUUUCAGCGGGGAGGGAGGCGAUAAGGUUAAUAACCUUGUCGAUUGACGUUACCCGCAGAAGAAGCACCGGCUAACUCCGUGCCAGCAGCCGCGGUAAUACGGAGGGUGCAAGCGUUAAUCGGAAUUACUGGGCGUAAAGCGCACGCAGGCGGUCUGUCAAGUCGGAUGUGAAAUCCCCGGGCUCAACCUGGGAACUGCAUUCGAAACUGGCAGGCUAGAGUCUUGUAGAGGGGGGUAGAAUUCCAGGUGUAGCGGUGAAGUGCGUAGAGAUCUGGAGGAAUACCGGUGGCGAAGGCGGCCCUCUGGACAAAGACUGACGCUCAGGUGCGAAAGCGUGGGGAGCAAACAGGAUUAGAUACCCCUGUAGUC
rnacentral:rRNA from 1 species